UACGGGGGGGGCAAGCGUUGUUCGGAAUUACUGGGCGUAAAGGGCUCGUAGGCGGCCAACUAAGUCAGACGUGAAAUCCCCAGGCUCAACCUGGGAACUGCGUCUGAUACUGGAAGGCUUGAAUCCGGGAGAGGGAUGCGGAAUUCCAGGUGUAGCGGUGAAAUGCGUAGAUAUCUGGAGGAACACCGGUGGCGAAGGCGGCAUCCUGGACCGGCAUUGACGCUGAGGCGCGAAAGCCAGGGGAGCGAACGGG
rnacentral:rRNA from 1 species